AUACGUAGGUGGCAAGCGUUGUCCGGAAUUAUUGGGCGUAAAGCGCAUGUAGGCGGCGUGUUAAGUCUGUCGUGAAACUGCGGGGCUCAGCCCCGUAUGGCGAUGGAAACUGAUGUGCUUGAGUGCAGGAGAGGAAAGGGGAACUCCCAGUGUAGCGGUGAAAUGCGUAGAUAUUGGGAAGAACACCGGCGGCGAAGGCGCCUUUCUGGACUGUGUCUGACGCUGAGAUGCGAAAGCCAGGGUAGCGAACGGGAUUAGAUACCCCGGUAGUCCUGGCCGUAAACGAUGGGUACUAGGUGUGGGAGGUAUCGACCCCUUCCGUGCCGGAGUUAACGCAAUAAGUACCCCGCCUGGGGAGUACGGCCGCAAGGCUUAAACUCAAAGGAAUUGACGGGG
rnacentral:rRNA from 1 species